rnacentral:ribozyme from 1 species
CUACCUAUGUCCUCGCAUUUUAGCCAGCAGUCCUAAUAUCCCCAUGUUUAUAACUCCACCACAGCGUCCUUGUAAUCCACCUGAAACGAUUCCGGUUCACGGAUUCCCGAGGGGGAAAG